CUGAGCAACUAAGCAUAGCACAGCUUGGGCGCCAAGUACAAAAAGUAGAUCUCCACCCACCCACCAGAAUCUGAAGUUAAUUCCCAGGCCUUAAUGGGCUCAACACCACCUUACUCUCGCGAGACUGCCUCUCUCCAAGUCAACGGCUGCGCAAGUGGGAAGAGCCGGAGGAACACACAGUCAGCGGACCGCGGAGGCGUGAGGGGCAGCCGACGGGCCGGUCCACUCGCAGGCCACCUGACAGUCACGCCCUCUCCGUGACCUCCUCGCAUGCACUUGGACAGCACCCUGGGUUCGCGGAGGCUGUCCGGGGCUCUGAUGCGUGGAGAUCUUCGGAUCCUCGUGGAGACCCCACCAUCCCAGACAGGACAGGACACUGCCGUCUGUUCCAGCCCCAGCCUUCCCUUCCGGUAUCUCUGGUCACCCUCAUCCAGGCCCUGCAGCACCUUGGGGUGGUGGCGUGAAAGAUGGUCUCCAGAAGGGACUUUCAUUCAGGCUCACCAAAGCUGGUCUUCAGAGUCCAUCGACCUACGUACUGUGAAAGGAAAGUGCAAUGCAGUCAGUAGUGGCAAGAGAACUCUCUAAAUCAGAGCCAGGAGGCCAUCAAGAUAAUGUGACUUAUGCACGUCUCAACCUGGAUGGAUGACCUUUUGACCUAAUGAAAUCAUCCAGAACAUCUGCUAGAAACUUCUACAGU